rnacentral:lncRNA from 1 species
AAAUAGAAGCUGAUUCAAGGAGAUAUUUGAGUGGAUCAAAUGGCCUCGUUCACAAUGGCCAUUGUCAAGCUUAAGAUCAACCCCAUUUUUUUCCUCCUGACUCCUGAGGUGAGGAAAAAGAGACAAGAGUUUGGCAGCAAGUAACUUCCAGAGCUGGGAAUCAAGCUAAGGUGGAAUAUAUGGCUCUUUUAAAGAAUGUAAUAUUAUCUAGAAAAACAAAACUCAUAGAUAAAGCAGCAUGAUAUAGUGGAAAGAGGUGGAAUCUGGCUUUGAAGACCUGAGUUUACAUCAAAGCUUGCUGACAUGGUGUAUCCUGAAAUGGAGAGAGUUAAAUGAAGAAUUUGAAAUCCUCCUAAGGCCAGAAACCUGCGCGUGCUUUGGAUAAAUGAACAUCAGUCCAUGAAAGUUUUUGGCAUUCUAUUACCCUCAGUCAAAUGCAAUUUAAAACUGACACAGAGCUAAAUGAAGAAAACAAACAAACAAAAAUGUUAAAAGUGACAUUCAUUUUUUUUAAAUGUGUGUAAGAUUAAGGAAAACUGUAUUUGAAAGUCAUUUUAAUUAAGUAUACAAUCUACCUGGUUCUUGGCAAAAAUAACACAAAAUUUUAAAAGUAUUAACAUGGCAACAUUGUGAUAUACAUGUUGUCACUUGACAGAGCUGAGUCUGAACUUUUGGAAAUGAUCUCUUUUGGCUUUUAGAACACUGCCAUCGCCAGCAGCAACUUAUAAUUGUCUGACUUUUCCUUAGUCAUCUUUGGAUCAUCUUCCUUCAUACACUUUCAAAGGCUGUAGCUCCUCGAUGUUUAAUUCUCAACCUUUCCUCUUCUCCUUAGUAUAUAUUCCUGGGCGAACUCCUCAGAUGACACAGAAUAUCUACUAUUGGAUUUAUGGGUUUAUGAGCCAGGACUCAAACCUAAAAGUCUAAUGAGCAUCCUUUAGGAAUUUCAAAAUUACCACUGUAUAAACAUCUCCUUUAUUUUUAUUUUCAUUUUCUAUCCCAGCCUCCUCAAUAUGCUUCUCCUAAAAUAUCCCCCAGUUUAAUUAACCACUGACCUCACCUAAACUAGAUUCUUAGUCUCCUAUUUCUUUUCUCUCCCAUUCAUGACUAAUCAGUCAUUAACUGCCACCUCAGAUGUGGAGGCUGGAUUGCUUUUCCUUCUCUCUGCGUAAUACGAUUUUGAAUUAGAUUGUUCAUCCUGGAACAGUCUCAUGACCAACUUCUUCCAACCACUUAUUUCUCCUUCUCAUAGUUCAUUCUCUACUCAUAGCUCAUGGGACCACUGUUUACCUAUAAAACAAAAUUCUAAAUACAGUCAUGUUUAUUGAUUGCUCAUUGCCUACAAGCCAUUGUUCAGAUUUCUUGUCUUGUCAGGGAAGUUUCCCUUAUGACAUAUCUUCAAUGAUAAGUUCUAUGCCCCAGCCUAACUGAAGUUCCUCAAGUACACUGUGUCUUUCAUACUUUCUGAAGCAUUCUCUUGUCUCUGCCUAAAGCUUCAUCUUUUUUCUCCAUUUUCUUUGUCUAUUGUGCUCUUUUACAUAAUUCCAAAUUUAUAUUAAAAGUUGAUUUUCUUGCAAUGACUUGAUCAAUUCUACUACAGAGUUGGUUAUUUUCUUAUCUGUGGUACCAUAAAAUCUAGGAUAGUACUUACAAUACUAUAGUAUAUAGUUUAUGAUCUGUGAGUUUAUGAAUUUAUCUUCCAUAUUGAACUUGAAGUUCUUGAGGCCAUAGGCAUUUUUAAGCAUUAUUUCUCUUUUCUUCCUGAGCUUUAAAAAAAGAUGUUAAUUGAAAAGAUCUCUCUUUUUUCUAUGUAAUGGAUACAAUAGAACUGUACUUAAUCUUUAGAUUUAUAAGACGGGUACUCAGCAGUGGUGCACAGAGGUGUAAAUUGUUUUUUAAAACAGAUUUUUUUCCUGGCCAAGUCUAAUACUUAAAAGACACAUAUUCAUGAAGAUAUGUUGCAACUUUAGAAUGGACAAAAGUGUCUAUAGCUUUUAUUAAAACAAAAUUCAUUCAAAUUAUCUCAGUUUGACCAAACCCUCUAGUCUUAAAACAAAUAUGUCAGAGAAAAAUGUACCUGUAUGUCAAUUUUCUAUGAUUAGUAUGACAUUUCACUGUCCACAGAAUUUAAAUGGGUCUUCACAUCUUAGUUUCAAAGUUUGAAGAGGUUGAUCCAUGCAUUUUACUUUUAUCUGCACUGAUUGUAUUGCUUCUGAAAAAGACUACAUUUUUAGCUUUGAAGUCUAGAUCCUGAUUUAGCCAAAGAAGAGGAUAAGAGAAACAGCUUCAGUUGGGUUUUUCAUUUACAGAACAACCUGACCUGAUUUUGAAGCUGAGUGAGUAUGAAGGAGAUAAUUUUCAAUCCCUGUUAACUCCAUUUGGAUGACUAGGGCACUGACCUCCUAAAAAGGAACCAACAAAAACUUUACAAAAUCCUAAUAGCAAUCAUCCACAGUUAUAUUUUCAAUCAUACCAAGUAUCAGAAAUAGAUUUUUUAAAAAAUGCCAGACCAUUAGUAAAUUCCCCUGUCCCUUCCUCAAAUCAGUCAACUUCUCUAUAAAAUGUAGUGGUAUCCUCAGCAAUAGCCCCUCCUAUUUCUUUUCUAAAGAAAGUUUGCAACAUCAAAAUGAAAUCAAGUAAGAAAUUAAAAUGGGCUAUAAUAUGCUACAAGAUAUGAUGUUAUAUUUGUUUCUUGGCUUGAUAAUAAUAUGACUUCUUUCAAGGAAACUCAAAUUUUAAAAAUAAAUAAUUGGCUCCUAAAAAUAGCAUUUAUUACCAAUAAUUGUCUAUGUUUCUCUUUUCAUAAAUAUUACUACUAUAUAUCAUCACCCAUACUCUACUAGCUAAGGGUCAAAAUAAUCAUUUGUCUAAUAACUAUUUAAAAUAUCAGAGAUUUUGGCCCCAUGAAUCUAAAUAU